UAACUGACGCUGAGGAGCGAAAGCGUGGGGAGCGAACAGGAUUAGAUACCCUGGUAGUCCACGCCGUAAACGGUGGGUGCUAGUUGUGGGCCACAUUCCACGUGGUCCGUGACGAAGUUAACACAUUAAGCACCCCGCCUGGGGAGUACGGUCGCAAGACUAAAACUCAAAGGAAUUGACGGGGGCCCGCACAAGCGGCGGAGCAUGCGGAUUAAUUCGAUGCAACGCGAAGAACCUUACCAAGGCUUGACAUAUAGAGGAAACGUGCAGAAAUGUACGCCCCGCAAGGUCUCUAUACAGGUGGUGCAUGGUUGUCGUCAGCUCGUGUCGUGAGAUGUUGGGUUAAGUCCCGCAACGAGCGCAACCCUCGUCCUAUGUUGCCAGCACGUAAUGGUGGGAACUCAUGGGAGACUGCCGGGGUCAACUCGGAGGAAGGUGGGGAUGACGUCAAAUCAUCAUGCCCCUUAUGUCUUGGGCUUCACGCAUGCUACAAUGGCCAGUACAAAGGGCUGCAAUACCGUAAGGUGGAGCGAAUCCCAAAAAGCUGGUCUCAGUUCGGAUUGAGGUCUGCAACUCGACCUCAUGAAGUCGGAGUCGCUAGUAAUCGCAGAUCAGCAACGCUGCGGUGAAUACGUUCCCGGGCCUUGUACACACCGCCCGUCAAGUCACGAAAGUCGGUAACACCCGAAGCCGGUGGCCUAACCGCAAGGAAG
rnacentral:rRNA from 1 species